AGAAAGGGGGUCAGUACGGAAAAAGUACUGAGUAUAUAAAGCAUGAAAUACAAUAAGAAGGAUCAUAACUGAAGUAGAGAUUCCAGCAGACAAGUAUAAUAAUCAAGAAAUCAUUGUACCUGUGCCUUACGAAACAAAAUCAUGCAUGUCAUUAUCAUAUACCGUACUCGGCCCAUUAUGAGACUCGGUG